CCUCCCGUAGCUCAGGGGCAGAGCCGCAUCCUUAUAAGUUGCAGGUCGUCGGUUCGAAUCCGACCGGGAGGA
rnacentral:tRNA from 2 species